UUAGUUCAGAGUUUUGCAAUGUACUUAGCAAAUCUGCAAAUCCCACAGAACCGUGGUAGUAACUGCUCCUUUGGAGGUUUGUAGCUUAGACUCUAGAACAGGAGUCGCUGAACAAUACAGGGCGCCGGGUGCCUGGGAUCAUCUGAGAGCAUCUGCUGCGUUGUUCUUUUUUUUAUUUAUUUAUUUAUUUUUGGUUUUUCGAGACAGGGUUUCUCUGUGGCUUUGGAGCCUGUCCUGGAACUAGCUCUGUAGACCAGGCUGGUCUCGAACUCACAGAGAUCCGCCUGCCUUUGCCUCCCGAGUGCUGGGAUUAAAAGCCUGCGCCACCAUCGCCUGGCAUGCUGCGUUGUUCUUAACAGAAUAGCUUUCACAUCAAUUCUAUGAACCACCCGAAACAUUGGUGCUCUGGUUUCGUUUCUGUGAAUUUUUGGAACUUAAUCGCUUAGUGGUGGUGCUGGGAUGUGGCUCGUGCCCACUGUGCCAGGCUGUGUACUCCCAGUUUUAAACGGAGAACGGUGAGGUGGUGCUGUGAUUGCUGACGAUGGGUGCCUCUCAGGGGUCAAGAAGAGGUUCUGUGCCUUCUCGGGUGGUUUGGAGUUAGCUCUUCACUCCACAAGGUCUCACUGAACAUAGCGGACAAUGAGGACUACUGAGACAUCAAGAACAAUGGCAAGGGGUUUUUGAUCCUAUUGCAUGUAUUGGCUUUGUGGGAGCCUAGGCUAUUUGGAUGCUCACCUUACGAGACCAGGACGGAGGAGGGUUUUCCUUGGACUUCCCACAGGGCAGGGAACCCUGAUUGCUCUUUGGGCUGACGAGG